rnacentral:rRNA from 1 species
UACAGAGGUGGCAAGCGUUGUUCGGAAUUACUGGGCGUAAAGGGCGCGUAGGCGGUCCGAUAAGUCCCGUGUGAAAUCCCUCGGCUCAACUGAGGAAUGGCACGGGAAACUGCCGGGCUUGAGUUCGGGAGAGGGAAGCGGAAUUCCGGGUGUAGCGGUGAAAUGCGUAGAUAUCCGGAAGGAACACCGGUGGCGAAGGCGGCUUCCUGGACCGACACUGGACGCUGAGGCGCGAAAGCUAGGGGAGCAAACGGG